rnacentral:lncRNA from 1 species
GUGGGUUUACUCUGGUGAAGUUUUAUCAUAAGUCUAUAUAAUGUAUUAGAUAAUUUAUUCUCACUUGAGAGCAUAUCAUUCCAAAACAUAACCAUACGUAGCUUAAUAGUAAUAUCAAUGGGAUAACGACCCAGUUCCCCGUAAACCAUAAAAUUUGGCGUACUUUUCCUCACGUGCAGAAUAUUUUUACAAAACUGCAAGUGCAUCCGUUCCAAUCCCUGCUUAUUUUCAAAUCCCCAUACUUCACUAGAGUAAAUCAUUAUAGGUAAGAUAAGACAAUCAAAAAGCUUAAGCUGUAUAUCUACGGGUAUUGCAAUAUUUCUAAUCUUUCUAUAUAGUGCAUACAAUGCUUUAUUGGACUGUUCCAAUAAUUUCUUUCUAGCUGAACAAAAAGAGCCGUUAUAAUUAAAUACAAUACCCAGAUAAGUAUAUGAGUCUAAUACAUCAAUAUUUUUACCAUAGAUUUCAAAAUCUGCUUUAACCUUGAAUUUCUUUUUGCUGAAAAUUACAAUUUUUGUUUUGCUUGUAUUAACUGUGAGUUUCCACUCAUUACAAUAUUGCUCAAAAACUUUCAAUGCAUGUUGCAGAUCCUCCUCUGACUCAGAUAAAAUAACUG